rnacentral:rRNA from 1 species
CCUACGGGAGGCAGCAGUGGGGAAUUUUGGACAAUGGGGGCAACCCUGAUCCAGCAAUGCCGCGUGUGUGAAGAAGGCCUUCGGGUUGUAAAGCACUUUUGUCCGGAAAGAAAUGGCUCUGGCUAAUACCCGGGGUCGAUGACGGUACCGGAAGAAUAAGCACCGGCUAACUACGUGCCAGCAGCCGCGGUAAUACGUAGGGUGCGAGCGUUAAUCGGAAUUACUGGGCGUAAAGCGUGCGCAGGCGGUUUGAUAAGACAGGCGUGAAAUCCCCGGGCUCAACCUGGGAAUGGCGCUUGUGACUGUCAGGCUAGAGUGCGUCAGAGGGGGGUAGAAUUCCACGUGUAGCAGUGAAAUGCGUAGAGAUGUGGAGGAAUACCGAUGGCGAAGGCAGCCCCCUGGGACGUGACUGACGCUCAUGCACGAAAGCGUGGGGAGCAAACAGGAUUAGAUACCCUGGUAGUCCACGCCCUAAACGAUGUCAACUAGUUGUUGGGGAUUCAUUUCUUCAGUAACGUAGCUAACGCGUGAAGUUGACCGCCUGGGGAGUACGGUCGCAAGAUUAAAACUCAAAGGAAUUGACGG